rnacentral:rRNA from 1 species
UGGGGGAUAUUGCGCAAUGGGCGAAAGCCUGACGCAGCGACGCCGCGUGGGUGAUGAAGGCCUUCGGGUCGUAAAGCCCUGUCGAGGGGGACGAAUCAGCCUGGCCCUAAUACGGUCGGGCCUUGACGGUACCCCUAAAGGAAGCACCGGCUAACUCCGUGCCAGCAGCCGCGGUAAUACGGAGGGUGCAAGCGUUGUUCGGAAUCACUGGGCGUAAAGGGCGUGUAGGCGGCCCGCUAAGUCUGAUGUGAAAGCCCGAGGCUUACCCUCGGAAGUGCAUUGGAGACUGGCGGACUAGAGUCCCGGAGAGGAAGGUGGAAUUCCUGGUGUAGCGGUGAAAUGCGUAGAUAUCAGGAGGAACACCGGAGGCGAAGGCGGCCUUCUGGACGGUGACUGACGCUGAGACGCGAAAGCGUGGGGAGCAAACAGG